UCCCUGGUAGCUCAGUGGGUAGAGAAUCUGCCUGCAGUACAGAAGAACCCGGUUCAAUUUCUGGAUGGGGAA
rnacentral:tRNA from 1 species